rnacentral:rRNA from 1 species
GACGAACGCUGGCGGCGUGCUUAACACAUGCAAGUCGAACGGAAAGGCCCUGCUUUUGUGGGGUGCUCGAGUGGCGAACGGGUGAGUAACACGUGAGUAACCUGCCCUUGACUUUGGGAUAACUUCAGGAAACUGGGGCUAAUACCGGAUAGGAGCUCCUGCUGCAUGGUGGGGGUGGGAAAGUUUCGGCGGUUGGGGGUGGACUCGCGGCUUAUCAGCUUGUUGGUGGGGUAGUGGCUUACCAAGGCUUUGACGGGUAGCCGGCCUGAGGGGAUGACCGGCCACAUUGGGCCUGGGCUACGGCCCAGACUCGUACGGGAGGCAGCGGUGCGGAAUGUUGCACAAUGGGCGGAAGCCUGAUGCAGCACCGCCGCGUGCGGGAUGACGGCCUUCGGGUUGUAUACCGCUUUCGCCUGUGACGAAGUGUGAGUGACGGUAAUGGGUAAAGAAGCACCGGCUAACUACGUG